GGGGGUGUACUGGUUUCGACGGGGACGACUGAAUUUAGAUAAGCCAUUCGCAGACUCCGGGGCUGCGUUAAAACCUGGAACAUUAAAUUUAAACGCAAACAAUAAAUUACAAUUCGCUGCCUAAUGGCAGCUGUCUAACCCUCGCCACUCGCGGCUAGGACAUUAGGCAUCAUCUAAUGCGAGGCACUUUUUUAUCAAAGCUUUGAGAUAAAAAAAGAUUUAUGAAGCUACCAAGAAAUUAAGCCUGUCGAUGGGCGUCUUUUCGAGGGAAUAACAAAGCACCGACUCUAAUGGGAGAAAAUCUAUUGGAAGGGUCUUCGGACAGGGGUUCAAUUCCCCUCACCUCCACUA
rnacentral:tmRNA from 1 species